UACGUAGGGUGCGAGCGUUGUCCGGAAUUAUUGGGCGUAAAGAGCUCGUAGGCGGUUUGUCGCGUCGUUUGUGAAAACCCGGGGCUCAACUUCGGGCUUGCAGGCGAUACGGGCAGACUUGAGUGUUGCAGGGGAGACUGGAAUUCCUGGUGUAGCGGUGAAAUGCGCAGAUAUCAGGAGGAACACCGGUGGCGAAGGCGGGUCUCUGGGAAACAACUGACGCUGAGGAACGAAAGCGUGGGUAGCAAACAGG
rnacentral:rRNA from 1 species